AGAGUUUGAUCAUGGCUCAGGAUGAACGCUGGCGGCGUGCUUAACACAUGCAAGUCGAACGAACCUUCGGGUUAGUGGCGGACGGGUGAGUAACGCGUGAGAAUCUGCCCUCAGGAGGGGGAUAACGGCUGGAAACGGCCGCUAAUACCCCAUAUGCCGAGAGGUGAAAUGAAAUUCGCCUGAGGAUGAGCUCGCGUCUGAUUAGCUAGUUGGUGGGGUAAGAGCCUACCAAGGCAUCGAUCAGUAGCUGGUCUGAGAGGAUGAUCAGCCACACUGGGACUGAGACACGGCCCAGACUCCUACGGGAGGCAGCAGUGGGGAAUUUUCCGCAAUGGGCGAAAGCCUGACGGAGCAACGCCGCGUGAGGGAUGAAGGCCUCUGGGCUGUAAACCUCUUUUAUCAAGGAAGAAGAUCUGACGGUACUUGAUGAAUAAGCCACGGCUAAUUCCGUGCCAGCAGCCGCGGUAAUACGGGAGUGGCAAGCGUUAUCCGGAAUUAUUGGGCGUAAAGCGUCCGCAGGCGGCCUGAUAAGUCUGUUGUCAAAGCGUGGAGCUUAACUCCAUUUCGGCAAUGGAAACUGUGAGGCUUGAGUGUGGUAGGGGCAGAGGGAAUUCCCGGUGUAGCGGUGAAAUGCGUAGAUAUCGGGAAGAACACCAGUGGCGAAGGCGCUCUGCUGGGCCAUAACUGACGCUCAUGGACGAAAGCCAGGGGAGCGAAAGGGAUUAGAUACCCCUGUAGUCCUGGCCGUAAACGAUGAACACUAGGUGUCGGGGGAAUCGACCCCCUCGGUGUCGUAGCCAACGCGUUAAGUGUUCCGCCUGGGGAGUACGCACGCAAGUGUGAAACUCAAAGGAAUUGACGGGGGCCCGCACAAGCGGUGGAGUAUGUGGUUUAAUUCGAUGCAACGCGAAGAACCUUACCAGGGUUUGACAUCCUGCGAAUCCCUUGGAAACGAGGGAGUGCCUUCGGGAGCGCAGUGACAGGUGGUGCAUGGCUGUCGUCAGCUCGUGUCGUGAGAUGUUGGGUUAAGUCCCGCAACGAGCGCAACCCACGUCUUUAGUUGCCAGCAUUGAGUUGGGCACUCUAGAGAGACCGCCGGUGAUAAACCGGAGGAAGGUGUGGAUGACGUCAAGUCAUCAUGCCCCUUACAUCCUGGGCUACACACGUACUACAAUGCUACGGACAAAGGGCAGCAAACUCGCGAGAGCUAGCAAAUCCCAUAAACCGUGGCUCAGUUCAGAUCGUAGGCUGCAACUCGCCUACGUGAAGGAGGAAUCGCUAGUAAUCGCAGGUCAGCAUACUGCGGUGAAUACGUUCCCGGGCCUUGUACACACCGCCCGUCACACCAUGGAAGUUGGCCACGCCCGAAGCCGUUACUCCAACCCUUGUGGAGGAGGACGUCGAAGGUGGGGCUGAUGACUGGGGUGAAGUCGUAACAAGGUAACC
rnacentral:rRNA from 1 species